AGAGUUUGAUCCUGGCUCAGGACGAACGCUGGCGGCACGCUUAACACAUGCAAGUCGAACGAGAGAAGAGGAGCUUGCUUUUCUGAUCUAGUGGCGGACGGGUGAGUAACACGUGAGCAAUCUGCCUUUCAGAGGGGGAUACCGAUUGGAAACGAUCGUUAAUACCGCAUAACAUAAUUGAACCGCAUGAUUUGAUUAUCAAAGAUUUAUCGCUGAAAGAUGAGCUCGCGUCUGAUUAGCUAGUUGGUAAGGUAACGGCUUACCAAGGCGACGAUCAGUAGCCGGACUGAGAGGUUGAUCGGCCACAUCGGGACUGAGACACGGCCCAGACUCCUACGGGAGGCAGCAGUGGGGAAUAUUGCACAAUGGAGGAAACUCUGAUGCAGCGAUGCCGCGUGAGGGAAGAAGGUUUUAGGAUUGUAAACCUCUGUCUUCAGGGACGAAAAAAGACGGUACCUGAGGAGGAAGCUCCGGCUAACUACGUGCCAGCAGCCGCGGUAAUACGUAGGGAGCGAGCGUUGUCCGGAAUUACUGGGUGUAAAGGGAGCGUAGGCGGGAUCGCAAGUCAGAUGUGAAAACUAUGGGCUUAACCCAUAAACUGCAUUUGAAACUGUGGUUCUUGAGUGAAGUAGAGGUAAGCGGAAUUCCUAGUGUAGCGGUGAAAUGCGUAGAUAUUAGGAGGAACAUCAGUGGCGAAGGCGGCUUACUGGGCUUUAACUGACGCUGAGGCUCGAAAGCGUGGGGAGCAAACAGGAUUAGAUACCCUGGUAGUCCACGCCGUAAACGAUGAUUACUAGGUGUGGGGGGACUGACCCCUUCCGUGCCGCAGCAAACGCAAUAAGUAAUCCACCUGGGGAGUACGACCGCAAGGUUGAAACUCAAAGGAAUUGACGGGGGCCCGCACAAGCAGUGGAGUAUGUGGAUUAAUUCGAAGCAACGCGAAGAACCUUACCAGGUCUUGACAUCGUAUGCAUAGCUCAGAGAUGAGUGAAAUCUCUUCGGAGACAUAUAGACAGGUGGUGCAUGGUUGUCGUCAGCUCGUGUCGUGAGAUGUUGGGUUAAGUCCCGCAACGAGCGCAACCCUUACUGUUAGUUGCUACGCAAGAGCACUCUAGCAGGACUGCCGUUGACAAAACGGAGGAAGGUGGGGAUGACGUCAAAUCAUCAUGCCCCUUAUGACCUGGGCCUCACACGUACUACAAUGGCUGUCAACAGAGGGAAGCAAAGCCGCGAGGUGGAGCGAACCCCUAAAAGCAGUCUUAGUUCGGAUUGUAGGCUGCAACCCGCCUACAUGAAGUCGGAAUUGCUAGUAAUCGCAGAUCAGCAUGCUGCGGUGAAUACGUUCCCGGGCCUUGUACACACCGCCCGUCACGCCAUGGGAGUCGGUAACACCCGAAGCCUGUAGUCUAACCGCAAGGAGGACGCAGUCGAAGGUGGGAUUGAUGACUGGGGUGAAGUCGUAACAAGGUA
rnacentral:rRNA from 1 species